rnacentral:lncRNA from 1 species
UGCUGCCAAUCAUCCCGGGAAACCCGCGUGCCUCUCCAAUAUCGAGUAAUCGUUGAAGAUCUUCUGCCGUAGGUAUUCUUAGAUACUCAUCACCAAAAAAGUGUAUUAUCCCAUUAGUAAAAUGUUCCAAACAUAAAAGAGCAGUACUUUCACCGAGUCGGAGAUAUUCGUCAUACGUAUCUCCCGAUUGACCAUAUGCGAGCAUACGUAUAGCUGCCGUACAUUUUUGAAGUGGUGAGAGCCCUUUCCUUCCGUGAGAAUUUACUCGUUGCUGAAAGUACGUAACACCUGUAGUUAGCCGCUCGACAAUGCGAAGGAACAAUGGUUUGUUCAUUCUAAAACGCCGCCUAAACAUGUCCGUUGUGUAAGUAGGAUUUUCGUCAAAAUAGUCGUUCCAUAGUUGAAUGUGGCCUUGUUCCCGAUCUCUUUCGAU